UCCUUUUUUUAUAUUUGAGAACUGACAGGGAUAGAAAGACCUAAAUAAACCUUAGGUUUAUUUGAAGCUACCCCAAUAUUUCUGAAGUCUAUAAGGAUAAAUAAUAUGGUCGUGGGGACAGCGGGACAUAAAGUCCUCUUGAUAUCUGGGCAACAGAAUGGCUCUUCUAGCUCAACACAGGGCUACAGCCGGUCAAUUUCUGUCGUUUUGCCGUCGCAAAACCAAGCGAAUUCGUCAGAUUCCGACUCAAAUUCGACAACUGGGCCACCCCUGCGAAAAAGACAGAGACUCACUCAUUUGAGCCCAGAAGAAAAGCAGCUUCGCAGGAAACUCAAGAACAGAGUUGCAGCCCAAACGGCCAGAGACAGAAAAAAAGCCAAAAUGGGUGAGCUGGAAGAGCAAGUUCUGGUGAUGGAACUGGAGAACCAGAAACUUCAUGUUGAAAACAGGCUGUUACGGCAAAAGAUGUGUGGUAUGGGGAACGAGAACAAGGAACUGAGACAGAGGCUGGGGUUGGACACCCUUGAGGCCAAAGAGAAUGCUCAGGUGUUGGAGUCCAAUGGGAUUGAUGCCGUUUUGGGGAUCGGGUCUUCUGAGUCUGCAGUACUCAGGCUAUGUGUGCCUCUGCAGCAGGUGCAGGCCCAGCAAUUCUCAAAUCUGAAGAUUUCCCAAUGGAUACAGAUAGUCUUGACUCUACAGACUCUGAGUCUGAUCUCUUGCUGGGCAUUCUUGACAUCCUUCACCCAGAGCUGUUCCUCAGGGAGUGUGGUGAGCAGGAGAUCCAGGAGCAGGCGGUGCUGCUGGUCGGAGGGGGGGGAGGAGUACCUGCCCCCUCACCUGCAGCUCUGGGGGCCACACCAGUUAAGCUGGAGGCCCUUAAUGAACUGAUCCACUUUGACCACAUCUACACCAAGCCUGUGGAGGUGGUGUGUGUCCUCGGGCAGCAGGAAGUGAAUCACGAGGAGAGUGUGACAGGGAUAAAGAUGGUUGAGGUCGACUCUGUGGCCGAUGAGGUUGACGUGUGUGUCAAAGAUGAGCCGGAAGAAGAGGUCAUCAUCCCUAAAAAUCAUGGGGUUCUGGAAGACUUCCUGUCUGUGGCCUCGCUGACCUCUGACCUGGCCAUGGGUAGCCUAGAGAAGACUGGUGCCUACCUGAUGGAUGCCUACAGCGACUCCGGAUACGAGCGGUCCCCUUCCCCCAUCAGCGACAUGUCAUCCCCCCUCUGCUCAGAGGGGUCCUGGGAUGACGUGUUCGCCAACGAACUGUUCCCCCAGUUGAUCAGUGUCUGAUCUGAUUCUGAACAUCCCUUUGGGAUCUCACAUCUCAUUAAUCAAUGAUCCAACCUAUUAUGAACUCACUGCUAUUUAGUGUAGUGUUAAGUGAAUACAGAACAUUAUGCUUUAUAUUGAUAGGCUGUCCCAGCAGUGCCGAUUACCAAUGGCUAUACAGCAUAAACUGAUCGAAGACUAGGCUAGCUAGCGUGUACCUCAUCAUGGGGGUUCAAACCAAAGUUAAUCUCCUUUUACAGGUCUAUGAUUUUGCGUUCCUGCAUUGGCUUGUGGGAGAUGCAGUUAUUGACACCUUAAUUUGCCGUCACUAUUUGACAGCUAGUGGAUUUGUAAGGUUGCUUUAAAUCUUUCCACUCAUUGUUGGAGUUAAGGAGAAGUCCAAUGGGUGAAAUAUCCAGUAUUUCUUUAAGUUAUAUUUCCCUGGGGGACUGGGACUGACUGUUUUAAAAAGACAAAUGUAUUUAUUUGUGUAUUCUGCUCCGGAGUCUUCUGUAUAAUCUGUUUCCAUAUGUAUAAAGGCCUUUACCUCCUGUAUAAUUUUGUUAAACACUCUCCUUGUAGAUCAAAAUUACUGCAUUAAAAAAAACUUUGCAUUGCA